rnacentral:rRNA from 1 species
CGCGUUAGGCGGUUCCUAAAGUCAGAUGUGAAAGCCCGGGGCUUAACCCCGGAAGUGCAUUUGAAACUUAGGGUCUUGAGUAUGGGAGAGGGAAGUGGAAUUCCUGGUGUAGCGGUGAAAUGCGUAGAUAUCAGGAGGAACACCGGUGGCGAAGGCGACUUCCUGGACCAAUACUGACGCUGAGGCGCGAAGGCGUGGGGAGCAAACA